rnacentral:rRNA from 1 species
CAGUCGCCGCGGGAAUACGUAGGUGGCAAGCGUUGUCCGGAAUUAUUGGGCGUAAAGGGCGCGCAGGCGGUUUCUUAAGUCUGAUGUGAAAGCCCCCGGCUCAACCGGGGAGGGUCAUUGGAAACUGGGAAACUUGAGUGCAGAAGAGGAGAGUGGAAUUCCACGUGUGGCGGUGAAAUGCGUAGAGAUGUGGAGGAACACCAGUGGCGAAGGCGACUCUCUGGUCUGUAACUGACGCUGAGGAGCGAAAGCGUGGGGAGCGAACAGGAUUAGAGACCCCUGUAGUCCCUGUCUCUUAUAC